rnacentral:rRNA from 1 species
UACGGAGGUAGCUAGCGUUGUUCGGAAUUACUGGGCGUAAAGCGCACGUAGGCGGCUUUUUAAGUCAGGGGUGAAAUCCCGGGGCUCAACCCCGGAACUGCCUUUGAAACUGGAGAGCUAGAAUCUUGGAGAGGCGAGUGGAAUUCCGAGUGUAGAGGUGAAAUUCGUAGAUAUUCGGAAGAACACAAGUGGCGAAGGCGACUCGCUGGACAAGUAUUGACGCUGAGGUGCGAAAGCGUGGGGAGCAAACAGG